GGCGAUGUAGCUCAGAUGGUAGAGCGCUCGCUUAGCAUGCGAGAGGUACUGGGAUCGAUACCUAGCAUCUCCA